UACCAAGGGGGCUAGCGUUGUUCGGAAUUACUGGGCGUAAAGCGCACGUAGGCGGAUUGGUUAGUCAGGGGUGAAAUCCCGGGGAUCAACCUCGGAAUUGCCUUUGAUACUGCAAGUCUAGAGUCCGGAAGAGGUGAGUGGAAUUCCUGGUGUAGAGGUGAAAUUCGUAGAUAUUAGGAAGAACACCAGUGGGGAAGGCGGCUCACUGGUCCGGUACUGACGCUGAGGUCCGAAAGCGUGGGGAGCAAACAGG
rnacentral:rRNA from 1 species